rnacentral:misc_RNA from 1 species
AUCAUAUUUGGGGCAGAAACCACUUCAUCUUCAACCUCAUAACAAACAGCCAUAUGAACCACCAUUAAAGCUCCAUUGCCGUCCAUGGAGCAAGCCACAUGCACUCCCAUUCCAAGCUUCAUUUCACCAUAGUUCCUUCACUAAACUUUGUCCUCACACCAUGGACAGUAGAUAGGCAGCAAGAAAGUUAAGUUUUGGUGAGGUUUUGAAGAAUUUCAAAAGUGG